rnacentral:rRNA from 1 species
GUGCAGCAGGCGCGAAAACUCCGCAAUGCGCGAAAGCGUGACGGGGUCACCCCGAGUGCCGUCCGCUGAGGAUGGCUUUUCUCCGGUCUAACCAGCCGGAGGAAUAAGGGGAGGGCAAGUCUGGUGUCAGCCGCCGCGGUAAUACCAGCUCCCCGAGUGGUUGGGACGAUUAUUGGGCCUAAAGCGUCCGUAGCCGGCUGAGGAAGUUCUCCGUUAAAUCCAACGAUUCAAUCGUUGGACUGCGGGGAAUACUGCUAAGCUUGGGGGCGAGAGAUGCCGGCGGUAUUUCCGGGGUAGGGGCGAAAUCCUAUAAUCCCGGGAGGACCACCAGUGGCGAAGGCGGCCGGCAAGAACGCGCCCGACAGUGAGGGACGAAAGCUGGGGGAGCG